rnacentral:misc_RNA from 1 species
UGUGGGAGCGGGCUUGCCCGCGAAUACGGAGUGUCAGUCGACAUCUACAUGACUGAUCCACCGCCUUCGCGGGCAAGCCCGCUCCCACA